UCAGGGAAUUUUGAAAUACUUUAAAUGUUAUUAUUUUCAAAUUCAAUACAUAUGUGUAUAUACUCGUGUAUUAUAUCAAUGUAUAUAUAUAUACUUACUUAAAUAUAGAUUGAGAGUGAUUGAACUGAAAGGACGAGAGAGGCCUUAGACAGUUUGUUUGUUUUCGUGAACAUGGAGCUCCCUUUGCCAUGUGCUUUCUCUUUUUUUUCUAUUCCUUUAUUUGUUUAUUUACUUUCUUUAAGUUUUGUUUUUACGGUUUUAUAUACGAGAAUGGCACUGAAGAUGGAG
rnacentral:lncRNA from 1 species